UGUGUGUGAAGAACCCUGCAGGCUGGUCGGAUGUGUGUUUGAUGUGUGCUGUAUAAAUGCCCUUCAUUAUAACAUGAAUACAGUCCUCUCUAUAGACUUGCAUGUUGCCAGGACAUCAAAGAGUCAACAGAAUAGACCUCCCUCUAUUGUCUGAUCUACUGGAAGCACUGCAGGGUAGGACUACCACUGACUAUAAAACCAAGUGGGGUGGUCGCUUUGGUCAGCUGCUGCUUAUAGAACCCCCUUCAAGGCAGUUAGCAUUUAGCAUGGCUAGCAUCAUGCCAUUGACCUGCACUGUAAAACCACUUAGCAUUUAGCAUGGCUAGCAUCAUGCCAUUGACCUGCGCUGUAAAACCACCUUUAGCGUUAGCGCAUGGCUAGCAUCAUGCCAUUGACCUGCACUGUAAAACCACUUAGCAUUAACAUGGUUAGCAUCAUGCCAUUGAUCUGCGCUGUAAAACCACCUUUAGCGUUAGCGCAUGGCUAGCAUCAUGCCAUUGACCUGCACUGUAAAACCACUGUUAGCAUUAGCAUGGGAAGCAGCAGAGAAGUCUCUUUUUUGUUAAGCCUCUUUAAUAACCAGAACUGAUAAAGCGUGGGACUGAAAGGUGCCUCUAGCAGGUGGGGGAGGGGCCAUACUGUGAGCGAGUGGAACAGGGAGCAGGCAUGAGGGAGGGAGACGGCAACCAACCAUGCUGACUCAUGUUAUAGGAUACUAUUACCUGUCAUAGGAGGAGGGGGAGGUCUGCCACUGCGAGGACUGUCUGUCCUGUCUCCCUGUAGCGCUGUCUUAGGCGUCUCACAGUACAGACAUUGCAAUUUAUUGCCCUGGCCACAUCUGCAGUCCUCAUGCCUCCUUGCAGCAUGCCUAAGGCACAUUUAAACAGAUGAGCAGGGACACUGGGCAUCUUUCUUUUGGUGUUUUUCAGAGUCAGUAGAAAGUCCUCUUUAGUGUCCUAAGUUUUCAUAACUGUGACCUUAAUUGCCUACCGUCUGUAAGCUGUUAGUGUCUUAACGACCGUUCCACAGGUGCAUGUUCAUUAAUUGUUUAUGGUUCAUUGAACAAGCAGGGAAACAGUGUUUAAACCCUUUACAAUGAAGAUCUGUGAAGUUAUUUUGAUUUUUACAAAUUGUCUUUGAAAGACCGGAUCCUGAAAAGGGGACGUUUCUUUUUUUGCUGAGUUUCGUCCUCGUGACUUAAUGUGUAACUGAGGUUAAUAAAUGGAAGUGUAAACGAAAA